rnacentral:rRNA from 1 species
GACGUAGGGCGCGAGCGUUGUCCGGAUUUAUUGGGCGUAAAGAGCUCGUAGGCGGCUUGUCGCGUCGACUGUGAAAUCCCACGGCUCAACCGUGGAAGUGCACCCGAAACUGCGUAGCUAGAGUCCUGGAGAGGAAGGUGGAAUGCUUGGUGUAGAGGUGAAAUUCGUAGAUAUCAAGCGGAACACCGGUGGCGAAGGCGGCCUUCUGGACAGUGACUGACGCUGAGACGGCGAAAGCGUGGGGAGCAAACA